CAUAUUACUUACACUUUUUUUCUUUAUGUGUUGAACAGAAUUUGUUAAGUCAUUUGUGUGAGCAGUACACAGUAAACUUUUUCAUGCAAUAACACUAAAUAUUAAAUGUAGAAUAUAACAUGUUAAUAAAACGUUGCUAAUGUAAGUAGGCCUCCUAAAUUGGAGGAUACGACAGUUCUGUGAUUAAAUGCCUCAUCUCUUGAAUUGAACCUUUGGAAGGCAUUGGUAGGCAGAAAAAAGCGUAGUACAUAAAUAUUGAUAAAAUUAUUAAGACCUAAAACCAGCAACAAAUAACAAGGAAACAAAUUAGGGUGGACCAUGAUGGUCAUUAGGAGUAGAGGAUAUAGCAUAUUAUAUUUGUACAGGUUUGUAGAAGUAUAGCAGAAAUGCUGAGUCACAACUUGAAGCAGAGCACCUGGUGGGAAGGCAGGGCUAACCCACGGGAGCUCAGGUGCAAGCAAUGCUCCUGAUUGACCAGAAGGGGUAGGGCAGAAUCCACCCUUUCCCAGACCUCAUUUAAGGGUUGGCAGGGGGGCACAUAGGUCUUUUGCUGGAGAUCCCUGUGUAUCUGAAGACCUAUUUAGGCAUAAAAAAGAAGUGUUGAGAGCUGCUCUUAACCCUUUUGGAGUCCGAAGUCAAAAGGGAACUAGAGGGCUUGACACAUCCCUUGCAUCUUCCAUUUACUCUGACCACAGUCCCUCCCUGUUCUCACAAGUGGAGCUAAGCCCUGCUUCCCUUCUUCUUGAUUCCCAGACAGCUACAUGACUGCCUGAAGUUACAUUGUAGAUGCUGAAAUCACUGCACCUUAAAAACAAAAAGAUUAAGCUGCACUGCAUUCUUAUGUAUAGAGGCAUGUUAUAGAAAUAUGUAUUAAGAAGUUCCCGGGUCCUAGGAGAACGUAUCAAGUUGGCUCUGGCUAGAAGCAAACAAAUUACCUUCGUGGUCCUGGUCCUUUCUUUCCACACAAUUAUCGACUGAGCUGAAGGAGAUCUCCCUAUAGCUCAGUGGUUGGCAGUUUUCCUCAACUCCACAAGAGAGAGAGAGAGAUUUGGUUGGAAUGAAACCUUACUCUUCGUACAGUCGGAUUGAGAUGCAGCUUUGAAAGGGAAAUGACUGCAUGCAUAGUCACUGGUACAUUCCGUGGUAGCAAGAAGAGUUUGCUUAUGUGCUGUAGGACUGAGGUGAGACCUGAAGGUGCAAGACCUGCCCAAAUCCUGUAUUCUCCCCAGAAGGCAGCAGUAGCAGAUGUUUGUGAAUGGCAGCACCUAUCCUGUAAUAUGACCAGGAAAAUAAUCCACUGUGGAAAUUUCACUUAAUUGUCCUGAAGUGAAGCACAGUUUAUUGAUGCAACUGAAGGGUUUUACACUCUGUUGUGUUUUGGAUAUAGAAUAGUAGAACAGUUUUCACUUAGCACAUUAUCAAUACAGCCAUCAGUUCUAGGGAAUUCUCUCAUGCACAGUGCCUUCCAAAGAGGGAAAGUAAACUUCUACGGUACUUAGCAUAGUCUUCAAAUUCUCUACACACGCAUCUAAGAUGUGCAGCAAUUCCCUGAGUUAUGGUCUAGUGUGAAGGCAGGCAUAUACAACUGCUUCUUUUAAUCUUGCUGAUGGGCAGCUAGAAUAGACAUACAAAAUCUUCAUAAGGCAUCAAACGUACAGAUGUUCUCCAUCUCUCUCUUCUUGCAGUCGCCAUGUAUCACACAAUACACAUAUGGUAAUAGAUUGUAUGUCAGGGGAAAACACAGACUACACCCCAUGCAGCCAUCACACCUUGAAAAUAGACAUAAAAUGGUGAGUCAAUAUGAAUACACAGCUCCUAACAGCCUAAUAGAAUAGAUCGCACCACAGCCAGGUACAUCUGUUCUCAGCACUAACCAUUAUCAUUAGUUUAAAACACUUAAAAUCACUGAGCUUCCGCAGGUCUGGGGACAGAUUAUACCAGGAAGAAUCUGCUAAAUAGAUUUAGCAAUGUAGCAAAGAGGGACCUUGGCUACAUUAAAACAGUACAUUUUGCAUCUCAAAGGCUGUAGGCUGUUUUCAGAGGAGCAGUCUGAAUGAGGAAUGACGCUAACACCAUGUAGCAAUUUCUUUAUCAUCAUUUAAAUAUAGAGCUUGAAAGUCUUGGACAAACAAUUGUGCCAAACAGCAGAACAAUUUAUUUGUGAAAAAUCAAGCUUGCCUUCUCUAGGAAACCAUCAGCUGUCCUGUAGCAUGUGUUCUCAUCAGACUAAUACAUGAGAUACAAAUAUCUAACUGUGACUGGACCAGAGUGUGAGUCUGACAGAAAGACUUAAUCUCUGUUAGGUAGGAGAAGAAACAGGGAAAGAGAAAAAAUAACAGAUUUCUCCAUAGCUCUCUGUCUCUCUCUGUCUUCCCAGUCUGGUAUCUGAUUGCUCUGAAGUGUAAGAUAAAGGUUCUUGCACAGACAUUGAAGUCAGUCAAGUCGUGAAGGCUUUAGGGGAGGCUUCAAAAACAAACAAAAAGGAAGUCUUGAUAUACAUGCAUCAGUGAUUGCUGAGGCACUAUGCUAUUGCUUGUUUCAGACUUGCUGUAGAGGGGUUUUUGAAGGAACGUGUGUGACUAACUCGAUAGGAACCGAGAUGUCUGACUCUUCAAAAGAGGUGGAAGUGAAACUAGGCAAAAUACUGGUGAUAAAUGUAUGAAAUACUGGUUUUGGUAAUGAAAAAGGACAGAAAGAUGUGGAAAAAAAUCCAUGUAUGUUUUGUGUAUUAGUGGAUAACAGGUCCAGGGAAAUAGAUAAAAAAGCUUUAGCUUCUUUUCUUACAGAUUUUGUCAGGGUAAUAAAGAAAAAUGUUUCAACUUUAUGAAUAACAGUGGGAGACAAAUGCACAUAUCUUCUCCCAGACUCAGAAUUCCCCAAGAAUGCUCCUGCUAUUAAGAGAAAAAGCAAUUACAGAUAUGCAUGGAAGGACAUCCCAUUUUUUUUUCUAAGCUCACUCCUUAUUGCAUCUUUAAGAGAGGACUGAGAUCCACUGUUUCCACAGCAUCAUCUUUUCAUAUCCCUCCCAUUACUCAUACCGCAAUUAAAGAAGAGUAAAGGCUGGCCCAGCCAUCAGGAGUUCUAUAUUUCUCCACCACAGAGUGGGCUGGCUAUGAUGUCCAUUGCCAGCAUGAGAACCUAUCUUUGGUGUUUGUCAGUUUCACCUGCAGUUUGGUAAGCUGCUUUAAUUGUUUCUUAAAGGCCACCCUUCCCUUUCAAAGUCUUGAGAAUGAUUCUUGAUGAGGACGGUGCUGCACCGGAGACCUUGAAGGAUUUUUUUCAGGGAGUCUUCUUUGAGUAAGAGGAGUUUGAAGAGUCAUACGUUUUUGAAGCAAUGUGAACACCUUUGUGAAAAGAAGAUAAGCAGAUAUGCAAGAUGUAACUAAACUCCAUCAGUUUCCAGAAAGUUCAGUGUUGUCUUUGUGCAGAACGUGCCUCUGGUGCAGUACAGUAGCAGCACAAUUAAGCUUCUAUAUUCCUAGCUUUAUCUUCCAGCUGUCUUUGAAUUUUUUGAAUAGCACUUCCUCUACUUACUGUUUUUCAAAUCCUGGAAGUCUGUAGUGUAAAUGAAAAGGAAUUUGGUGUCAAAGGUGUGCAGUACAUAGUGUAGAUGUCUUUAUGAAGCAGAAGAUCACACACAAAACAUCAUAGGGUACCACUUUCUAACCAAUUCUGGAUGCUAAAUGUAUCUAUCCAUCUUAAUGGACAGUACUUUCAUCUUUGAGGUUCGUUCCUUUUUCUGCUCAAGUACAGUAUAGUGUAAUUAGGCAUGAAAACUUCAGGACUUAGAAAACUCUGCCUAGAAAAACACCAGGUUGUGUGUGCUUGGGAGCAUGGAUCGCGGUUAAAAAACAAACAAACAAAAAACCAACAACCCACCAAGAACAACAAAGAAAAACCAUACUGGAUAUUAAUACUGCUUUCCUGUAUAGGUUACAUCAAAUCCUGCAUAUAAUGCAUGGAGUUCAGAAUAUUACUGUGACAACUCUGUUUCUCUGGCACAAUCAGCCUGUCCAUGCCAAAGGGCAGUCUGUAAUUUUCUCAGGAGGCAGUCUGAGCCUGUGCACUUAAUUCACUGAGGAACUGGUGGUUAGCAUAUAUCUCACCACUCUCUGCUUCCCAUGGGAAAGGUAUAUCUUUCAUUAUGUCUCCUUAAAUACAAAUACAGGACAUCAAGCAUAUUGAAAUGCCCCACCAGAUCAGGAAACCAUAUUGCACCCACUUCUAACUCUGGAGAAAGAAGAGGGGAAGAAAUAAUUCAUAGUAGAUACGUGAGAUAGCACACUCACAGCAGUAUCUGGAUGGUGCUCUAGCAGCAUGGCAAUGGUCAGGGAAUUAAAAGUUGAAUAGAAUAGGUGAAAAGCACGAACUCUGGCAGGAGGAAAGGGCAGCUUGUGGCAAGAAAUAACCCACAGCGUAUGCCUGUUUGUUCAGCCCAAGCAGGAGGAUAGGUGGGAUAUAAUCUUUGUAAGAAAAAACAACUAAUAAAGUUGCCAAGAACAGAUAUUUUAUAAUCUGUGCUAAAUCUCUGCUGGAAAACAUGAACAGCAAUGAAACUGAGAAGACACUAAAAGAAAUUCGGGGCAAAGUGCCAGACGCCCAGACGGAAGCAGAAUGUGGACCAAAAAGCUUGCGACAAUUGGGUAAUUAUGGUUUAUGAAUUUCAGCUUUAAUCUGUAGUUCAGUGAGUCCUGAUUAAAUAUCUGUUAAACACAAUUAAAGUUUGUUUUUGUAUUUCACCGUCUUGAUCAGAAUAAUUAGAGACUGCGUGUUUCAUGUCAAAAGUAGCAAGAGGAAUUUUAGUGAAUGAACAUCGUUUUUAAAAGCCAUUUGUAGCACCAGCUGUUGGCAUUAUUUUAUAUUUUAGUGUUAUCAGCAUAAAGACGGGUCCUCUCAAUGCUGAAUGCUUUCCAGCAGGGCUAAGAUGCUGGGAGAGGCGUGAUACAGCAGGAACCGUGCCUGGCCAUAGGACUAUGCAGAGGCAUAGCGCUUCAGAUGAAGCUCUCCAAGCUACAGCGUAAGACCGUGCACUGAAGUGGCAGAGGGCAAGAAGUGCUGUAAGCGGGUCGUGUAGCACCCAGCUUGUGCUUCUCUGCCGAAGAUGCUUCAGAUAGCAAGUGUGACAAGUGUUAGGAAAAAUUGCGGGUUGGAGCAGAUAUCUGAUGAGCUGAAUUUGGGUUUUUUCGUUGCAGGGUCUUAUCAGAAGCUCCGGGUGUCCCGAGGGUUAAAUGUUGGAGUGUCAACCCAGAAUGAUAUUUGUGGUAGCAUUACAAAAGCUUUUGGGAACUAACACAUAAACUGUGCCAGUAGUACCUUAGCAAAGGCAGCAGGCUUCAGGAAUGACCUAUGUGGAUACUGAAAAGGAUAGGUAUGCACAUUCCAGUUUCUGCAGGGACUUCCUAAGUGGAUUCGUCUCCAUUUAUAGCUGCUUCAAUUAAGUGAUGAGAGGAGAAAAGAUCCUUUAAGCUUUUUCUCUGAAGAAGAGGAAAUGAAAAGGGGUUAGUGGGAGGAAAGUGGGAUAGCUUUGAGUAAAGACAUACUGAGAUGCAACUUCCAUAGAUAGAAUAUAUUUUUUCAGGAACCUGAAAUGUAUCCAAAUGUCACCUGAACAUGGUUAGGGCAUGUAAAUAAAUCCUAGGGGGUAUGUGUGUGCAUGUAUGGCUGACCUGUUUUUAGCCUUCAUCUGUCUCUUUAUCCCAGUGAAGAUGAAUCUUCAGUCACAUUUAGUGAUGCCUAGGGAGGAGGAGUAAAUCUCAAAUAGAAUAAGCUAAAAAUUGAAAAUGCCUACUAAAGACGCUUGAAAGACAACUCCAGUUUCUCCUCUUGAGUAAGUGUUCUACUGCCUGUGUGUCUAGUUUACUUCAAAUAAUGUAGUUCCUUUGACCUUUUCAGUUUCUGUCUCUUUGAUGAGUGUCAAAAGAAGAGGCACGGAGCUCUCAUGUGUGGAGGAGAUCUUAUCUUCAAGCAUGGGACUGAGAUGACAGUCCUACUGCAGUCAUCCUUUAGUAACAGCUUUUUGUCACCAGUGACCUAGAGAAAGGGGUCUGUGUGGUUCAUUACCAUCGUGCAGAACCAUUUCAUUUGCUGGCAGUUUAAUCAUUCAUUUGUGCUAUAAGCUUGAAAAGUCAAGAAAAAUAUUAGCUUGUCUAUAGCUUCAGUUUUUUCCAACACUGGUCAGCUUUUUAUGCUUUUUCACCUACCUUUCCAAGUAAGUGGGAGUGAAAUAAUGCCAGAAUUUCUAAAUUAGCCUUCCAAGGAAACUAUAGGUCUAUUAAUUCCAAAGUGAAAUCAAGGUUAAUGGUGAAAGAGUUGAACAGAACUUAAAAAUCAAAGAUAGUUUUGGAAGACAACAUCAAAGGCAUAUCAAAAAUAUGGUGGUCUUUUUAUAAGCUGCAAGCCCUGAAGAGAUGGUGCCCCUAAUAGAGCUGAGGGAAAAAGGAUCAAAGUGAUGAUCGUAUGCGUCUUUAAAGUAGAACGAAUAUCUGGAGUGAAUCUAUGAAGAGACAGGUUUUGGAUGAAACUUUCAUAGCACUGGGAUUGUUUAUCAAGUUUUUAUGCCCGGGUACAGUACAAGUGAUCAGAUUUCACCAGGGACAGAGGGAAAGAAUAUUUAGCUCAGAAUAGGAAAACUAAGACCAAUUGUUGCCUGUGUUUAAAUGUGUGUAUAUUUAUACGUAUGUUACAACAAGUAUCUUUUUAAGAUGUGUGUUUUAUUAAUUUGGACCAUAUCCUCUUCAAGAGAAAUUUAUUCUGGUGGGAAAAAGAAGACAUCCCUGACAUUUGGUUAAGUAUGUGAUUUUUUAUUUUCACUUCAUAAAGUUAGGAGGAGAAGGGAAAUGGAGUUAGGGCUUUUUUAGGGCUUUUCUUUGUCUUCUCUUGCAUUUCUGAAUUUCUCUGAUUUUCCCUCAAAACCAGCUGCUUAAGUGUAUCUCAUCAACUGCCUGAGCUUGUCCAAAUCCACUACCCUUAUAUCUGAGAUAAAUAAAAUCAGGACAACAUGUAGGUUUCUAAUACAAGUUCCUUUGUAUGGGGAUGGGAAGGGAAAUGGAAAUCCUGACUUAUAAUUCUGUGUGUGUAGGGCUUUCACGUUGUGUGUACAAGCCCAGAGGAAAAAAAAAAAGGAAAAAAAGGAACUAUUUCUUCUUUUGGCAAUAGUAUACAUAGUUCUUCCACAGAGUUUUAUUCUAUGCCUGAGGGUCAUUUCUCUUUUAAAAGAAGCACUGACAGCUGUGAUGAAUGGCAUUACCUGGGAAGAGGGAAUAUCUAGAUGUUUAAACAGAUCAAGUUUCUUCUUAUAGCACAGUAAACAUUAGGUCACAAAUCAAGCUGUUCUACUUUCAUGGGCAAUCAGGAUCAAUUCUACGCUACUUAAAUGUGAACUGGAAAGACUUAAGUAUAGCCGCAUGCUGACAUUAACAGAGGAUGGUGGUUUAUAACCUGUGUACAUUGUCACAGCUAUCCUUUUACAUGAAGUCAUGGAUGAAUGCCAUGUGCCCAUGUAGAGUUGCCUCCUUGUCAGCAGGCAAGAUUGCCCGUCCAUCACUAUUAUCUGCAACUAGGCUCAUUACCUGCCAGCCAGUAAACAUCUCACUCUCACCAUCUGCAGUGAAUUACAAAGUGACUGGAAGAAUCAGGAUCAGUUUGCCUUGCAGAAUGAUUGUCAAGUUCAUUUUCAUCUUUGGAGGCCCUUUGGAAAUGGAAAAGAUGGUGACUUGGAUGGGAAAGAGGAUGAUGUCCAUUACCCUCAGGCAAACAAGCUGACUGAUGCUAUUCUUACAUACCUUCCAUUUUACCAAGCGCAGGUGGCUGGAAAUUUUCACAGCAUGCAGGUGAAAUAGUAUCUUUUAUUUUUGAAUGGCUCUAUCAUUUGUGGUGUAUAGCGAUGCCAUUUUCACAUGAGCAGUAAUGUCUGAUUCAGGAAAAUUUUUUAAAAAAUAUUAAUUGUACUCAGUACAAAGGCAUCUCCCUUUGACAAAGCUGAUGCCUAGCCCAUCAGGACCUACUUAGGAAGGAGGAUAGCAUACCACAGUAGUUUUUGCUGUAAACAUUUUGCCCAUCAGUGUUUUUUUUUAAGGCCACCAGAUAACUUAAUAAUGAUUGUAAAUUUUAGCAUCACUGCAUGAGCAUACAACUAAUUCUGGGCAUCUGCUCUAGGGAAGACAGAAUCUAUUCGUAAACCUUUCAAGGGAAAACGUAACCAAAGAGGCAAAUGAGGAGUGUGAUACAUUCUUGAUAAAGGAUCUGCUGGUGAUAGACAGAUAGAUUAGAGAUUCUGCUGUGGAUAGCAAGAAGGCAGACAGAGAAAUGGGAGCAUUAGGGAGCAAAGAUUAUUCUUAUGGCUUCUCCCUCUGGCCUCCAGUACCCGUGUAGUGUAGAACCUGGCCUUGGGCUUGGAUGUCUGUCCUUUCUCUUUGGCCUCUCUCCCAGCAAAAUGCAGAGUUAAAAAAAAAUAAAAUUAAAAAUGGAGUGAUAUGUGUUUGGUAUGUCAGCCAGUGGCCACAUGUGCAGUGAGGAAAUUUUCUCUGAGAGCUCCCAAAGCUCAUAAUCAUUGUGCAAGACAUAAUUAUACUCUUUAGAAAUCCAGAUCAGUCCAUAGUAAGGGGAGGACGGAAGAGAGUGUUGCAGACAGAUUUUAACAAGUGUAUGUGUCUCCUUUCUGCAACAAUUUUGGUCUUAAGUGCACUUGGCUAAAUUCUCAUUCUCCCCUGGGAGGGUUACUGGAGGGAUUUCCAGGCUUUUCUGUCUGCCUUCUGCAGGCUCAUGGGGAGCAAAAGUGAUGACUACCAAUCGUUGCACCUGCUUCAGAGAGGGACAGCGCUUGCUCCCAGAUGCUUGCCUCGGGGUGCCAGCAGGAACAGGGGAGUAGGAAGAGGCUGGCACUGCUGGUUAAACAGACAGUCCUCCCUCCCGGGAGCUAUGGAGUGCCAGUGGGCACGAUGUAACCAGGUCUUUGGAGCUGAGCGAAUGCUAAUGGCAGCAUUUUGCCUGCUCCUCGUCGGAUAAAUAGAGAGGCUCAGAGGAUGAUGCUUUCCUGAACGUUGCUUCACUCUCACAGUGCUUCAGUGGUAGCUAGUGUUCCGGUCUCUGUAUGAAAAAAGCUUUGUGCUGUUACUUCAGAGAGCAAAAUCAAAUUAAGCUGGAGAGCAACAUGAUUUCUAACUGGUUUUAACCAUGUGCUUAUCCAGCCUAAUCUUUGUUGUUAAGCUUUGUCUUUGUUUGCUGAGAUGGAGAACCUGUUUAGGUCUUGUGACUUCCUAAACAUCACUAAAGAUUUUCUGAGCAGUGAUUUGUUCACAAAAUGGGGCUUCAAAAUGGCCUAGCAUUCUGCUUGUUUGUGGUGCGCAGACAUCUGACUGACUACAGAUGUUUCAUCAUUCUCAGAUUUGCUAUAUUUUGCAACUGGAAAAAAUGCUUUAAUAAAGCAAAUGAACAAUACCCUCUGAACUGUUGAAGUGAAUGUGGAUUUUGCCUGGGGCAGUGGUGUCUGGAGGUUCACAAACGUCGUUGCAUUCUACCAAAGCAAAAUAGUUUGCACUUAGUUCUUGAGAGCAGCGUUUUGCAUGCAGGGAUGAUCAGAUCCUUGAACCAGACAGAGGAUUGCCAUGUAUUACCGUAACUCUCUAGAUCACACCUCAGUAUUUGGGAUGAGAGGUGAAUGUCGGCCACAUGAUGUUUCCUAUGUUGUGUUUGGCUACAAGUGUUGUCACUUUUUCCAUUGACAGAGACACUGCAGUGGAGGGAUCUAGUUGUCAGAUGUCAGAUUAUCAAAACUGUGUAGGUGCUUAAAGGUAUGACUGAUUGCCUGAAGGUAUUUUCAAAACCACCUUAGCCAGUUAAGGUAUGUUCCAUUGACGCUGGAUGUUUCAAGUUCUGUUUGCUGCCUGCUGUUAUGUUGGAUUAUACCAGUUCCUCUUAAGAUCUUUGUUAUCACUACCAAGGCUUGCUGGCUCUCCCACCAGAGGAUUUUGGAAUACCCUUUAGACUUCUGUAGGAAGCAUGCUGGGGGUGAUGAUGUGGCUCCAGUCUGCUGCUUUGAAACCAAAGUGGAGUGGCCUUUUGGCAGCUUUGGUUGAAGUUGCUGGGGGAGGGGAGAGGGACGUUGUGGUACAGCAGGGAAGAUUUAUAUCUUAGGAACAUACUGAAGAAACCUGGGUCACUGAGAAGUUGACUCUAGAAACUAGCCAGGAGAAAGACAGAAUACAAGUAGUAAGAGUUAGAAGGCAUAAAUAAGAGGACAGUAAAAAAAAUGAGAAAUGUCAACUGUAAAGCAUAGAGAAAUCUUGUAGAAUGAGUGUUGCAAUGUAAGCCACAACAGCACAAAUGCUGUCAUUACGCCUUGUUUUCUGAGUGAGGAAUAGAUAAACCUGAAGGAUGGCAGGCUUGGCGGGCAUCUCGUUCACAAUGAAAUACUGAACAGACAAAUCAGCUGCAAGGGAGACUUCAGCCAUUUUGCAGUAAGCACAGCUUGGCUUGAUAAACAGCCUCUCAGAAGAAGAUACUUACGUCAUGAGUCCAGGCUUAGAGAAAAGCUAGUGACUGCAGCUCUCCUUUAUGUUAUAUUUUGUCUAUUAUGUGCUUCCAAACGGUACUUUUAGUGAUAUCAGUAGAGAAAAGAUAACUGUAAGUAUCAAGCAAGAAGGAAAUGAUAAAAAAGAAGCUGUAGAAAGAGUUUAUCAAGAAACGAGAAAGAAUGUCUGGCCACUUUUUUAGAUGCUGUAAAACCAGAAUGAUUGUUUAGAUUUUAGUUGAAGCCUACUAAAUUUACUUGCAGAAUAUCCAGCCCUUGGUUUGAGAUAAUUCAUGUAAGCAGGAUCUUUAUUCCUGUGUAGGUUAAUAUUUCUAUAGGGAUGUUGAUAUUCUUAAACAUAAAACACAGAUUUUUAAACUGAAUUAAAAUUAGUAACUCCCAGUUAGAGGUGUCAGUCUUCAGGAGUUUUGAAUUGUGAAAAGGAAGACCUGAGAUAAACACGAAUCUACAAAUUGUGAAAGCUCAGAUAUCCUAACUCCAGCAAGUCAAGCAUAAAGUACAGAGAUUGUCUAGCAGAACAGCUGUGCCAAAUAGGAGAAGUACUUGCAGUUCCACGAAGAGGAAUUCAACACACUUGAUAUGUUGUUAUAAUAAUUUAGGAAUUUGUGUAACUUGAGAAGUGUUUUGGAAGUGAUUUAGAUAGCACACUUUAGAAGCAGAGAAGAAUUGAAAUGAGAAAUAUAUAAUGAUUUCAUAAAUAUCUUUUUACUUAAUGUCAUUUUUCAGAAGGUCCAGAUAAAAACUUGUUAGAAUUGAUAGAGAAAUUCCCACUGAGUUCUGUGCGCCUUGAAUCAGACUUUUGGCAACUCAACGCCCUGAAAACCAGCAGGAAAAAUGUUUUGGAAACCUUUGAUUUGGGAAAGUGUGAUCACAACAUAAGAAUUAAAUUACUGUUCUUCCUUGUCAUUGUUUGACAGUUAGUCCAGCUCUCACAAUUCUCCAUAAAACUUAUUCAGAAAGAGAUGAGUGGAAUUUUACACCAAGUGUAUGGUGGGAUUAAUUAUAUGAGGUGAAGUUUUUGGGAUUUUAGCUAGUGAAACACCUGCAAAAUGCUGCUUAGGGGUAGGAUUUAAGGAAGACCUUGAUUGAACUAAAGCUGUAAUGGUUUAAUGUUUAAAUAACUGUGGCACUGUUUGCAAUUGCAACAUUCAUUAAGGCAAUUGUGGAUUAUUGUGUUGUUUGCUUCCUUUCCUAUUGUGCAAUGAACUUAGUUCAGCAGAAUGGGUAUAAAGAAAUGAUGAUCCAGUGCCCUCAAUAGCAUCUUUUUGUGAAGACUGAGAUGGUACAAGGAUUCCAGUGAUGCAAUCUUCUCAUCUUUUCCUCAUUCAGAUCUCUCACUGUCUAGAAAGCAUAAGUAUCAACUGUGAGACUGAGUUCUAAUUCCCUUCCAUUUGCAGUUUCACAAGUUGAACAACUUAUAGUUCAUCAGAAUUGGGAAUAUGUAUGAUUUUGAUAGUUUAUUUUGUCAGAAAACUUUGUGAAAUCCAGGCAGCUGAGGAAGAAACAACAUGCCCAUCAUUUGCCAAAUCCUCCUCAGGCAGUGCCUUAGGACAUGGUUGGCCAUGUUUUAAUUUACGUGUCAUGUUCCAGAGCUGAACCAAAAGGCCAUGCUGAAGUAUGGAUGUGGCUGGUUACCAAGGCGGAGUCAGUGGUCAUUUGGAAGCUUUUCUUGUCAUUUUCUGUCUACAUAUCUUGAGCCAAAAUUAUAUGAGAUUAGUUCUCUCUGAUGAUUUCUCCAUAGUAUUUUAUUUUUCAAGUAAGAUUGUUGGAGGAAAAUUGUAGUGGUAUCUAGAUAACACUAGAAAAUGCACACCUUCUGGUUAUUUAUAGGAGAAAUUUGAAUCCGGUUAUAAAUAAUUCUACUCUUUACUAAAGAACUUUUGAGACUGCAUCUGCAUUCGUAUAAACAGAGACUUGUGACUAUGUCACAGACGAUAAAGAUGUUUGAAAGCAGUUUUGGUAUUUGAAAGUGGGGACGGUCUUAAUCUAGUAGGAAUAACUGGGCAGUCUUCAUCCUCCAGAAAUCUGUCUGAGCAUCAUAUGGCAGAAGUUAUAACCUCUAAAACCAGUGUUCUUUUAUAUCCAAACCAAGUAAUUAGAAACUUCCUUCUCUUUUUUAUUUGCCAUGUUAUCAAAUGUACAUUUUGUUGGAUGUGCAGUUCUAGAGCACAAAGACAUGAUGUGUGGAGAGAAUAAUGCUGCAGAUAUGUAAAUGUAUCUCAAGGUGUUUAAGAUAGAAGUUAAUGGGGCUGCCACACGAAGAGUUGCCACUGUGAAUACAAUAUCUGUGUGUAUGAACUUGUAGAUUCGUACACAUUGAGCAUGGGAGGUUUUGGAAGAGAAAGAAGGUAGGAUCUUAUCGCAAUUUCAGUUAAAGGUUACCAGUCAGGGUAAUUGUGGUAAUAUACGAGCUUCAGUACGUCAUUGUUGCUUGCAGGCAUUGGAUACAACUGCCCUUAACAGAGGGAGAGGUUUUCUUCACUUGAAAAUGUAGCUAUACUGCUUUGGGAUCCUGAGGUCCUUCACUGAAUCUUCUGCUGAGAAGAAGUCUCCAGAAAGCAGGAUAAUCCUUCCUGUGACAUUUACUCACUCGAUUACCUUCCUGUAUUUUGUGCAGGCCAUUUCAGGCUUUUCAAAUUUUAUUUGUUCUUGCCAGACCGCAUUUAUUCAUUAGCUGCAUUUAUUGUAGUUAUGGUUGAGACAGCACUUUUAUUGUAAGGCCUCAGUCUUUGGUGGUUUAUAACUUUCUGAAACAAUUACCUUUUUGGCUGAAAUUUCUCAAGCUUGUUCUAAGCUCGGAGGUGAAUAAUGUUUCAGUAAGUUUGAAAAAAAUCCAUUAAGCCAUUUAUGAGGACUAGACGUUCCAAUAAACGUAGGCGCAUUUAUUUUUUGAUGACCUACUUAUUCCAAUAAAGUACAUUAUUAUUCUGUUUUCUCCUGUUUUAAUUUAUGUUGUCUUUUAAAAGAGAAUGAGGACAUUUUAUACUGGAUUUUCAGACAGGCUUCAGCUGAGGUUUGUUGACAUGCAGUUCAGCACAGGGAAGCAUGCUUGCUGACUGUGCUUAGCUCAGAAGCAGGACUGUUUAUGGGUGCAAAGGGUUUUGGUCUAGUGUCUUUCUCUACGGGAAAACAACUCAAUCCCUUGUGCUUGUAGUGGAUAUUUGACAGAGUGCAUAUGCAACUCAACUGUGCAGUGCAAGGCUAGAGGGAAAAAGCGGGGCUAUCUUUGGAACGUGCAUCUUUGGUUGUGCUAUGGCGUUAGUGCAUUGUGAAGAUUCAGAUAUCGCUUGUGCAAAAGUGCAGUCAAUAUACUUCUGCUGUCUGGCAGGCACGGGCUACGGUUUUUUGUGACAAUGUCCUGAACAGUGUGAACUAAUUUGACAAAUGAUGAAGUCUCAUGUGAUUGAAAAGACAGUGUUGUUUGGUUUUUUUGCACUUAACUUUUGCACAGACUGCAAUUAAAUUCCAUGUGCUUUGUCUUGUGUCUGUGUGUAGUGUUUUGUAUUGUAUGGCUUGUAUACUGUAUCGCAUGCACUGAGAGGAAGUGGAAUCAACUUCUAUCUUCCUUACGCUAGCAUGAUGCUAAUAAAAUUCUACUUAAUAAAAGAAAGAUGUUCUAAGUUUAUGCCAGUGUAACCGAGAGCAGAAUUUGACCCAGUAUGAUUAAUUGUACUGAUGAACUUUGAUGCCAAACUCCAUGCCCUUUGCACAAUUAAAAUCUCAACUUUAACAUUGCAUUAACCCAGCUUUUCAUUUAAUUAUACGUAUUUAGUUGAAAGCUCCAAAAAUGUUAAUAUUUUAAGUCUCUUCUCCUGUUUAUAAUUGAACUUUUUUGUGUGAUUGUUUUCUGCAGUAAUCAACAGGACAUUAGCAUGGACAGGAAAUGAAUCUGGAACUCUAGAGAUUAAUAUUAAUCUGCUAAUGUCCUGUCCUGAUGUUCUCAGGAAUCCUUUCUUCUCCAGCACAUUAUGGUACUUUAGUAAUCAGUAAUUAGGGUAAGGUUUUCUCAUGCCUGAACUAUGUCCUCUUAUAUCUUUCAUUUUCUGAUUGCUAUGGGAAUGAUGGUUUUUUCCCCCCAUGGAAUCAGAGCAAAAUGUAAUGUUUCUUCUUCAGCAGCCACACUGCUUAGACAAAUGCAGGGUUUGAGGCAUAGCAUAUUAUCAGUGAGGAGAUUUGGGGGUUAGUAUUCUGGAAUUUAACCUCAGGUUAUAUUUCUGUAUGGCAUUUGCCAUGCCCCCAUGUUUUGAAAUACUGAUCUUAAUUCUCGUGCCAACUACAUCAGUAAGCAUGUACUUUGUAGUAGUGCUUUAGGAAACACAGAGCCAUCAAGAGCUGAUCCAGGCACUUAGGAGCCUGGGCCAUGCUGAAAUGCGUGUAGUGAGUGUCAUUCUCAUCCUUUGACUAUGUAGUCCAGCAAGGUUUUUUCAGAUCCAGUUUCCCAGGUUAGGGCAAAAAGGCAGUGUAACCUUGAUGUAUCCAGCAGCUUCAGUAUCUCCCUUAAUAUUCAUCACUUCUCAGCCCAUCUCGUUGUCCCAGCCCACAAACUGACUGAUGCUGCUUCAUUCAUUAUUUGUAGCCUUAGGACUACAGUGGGCUCCACUGAUACUGGUUCCUUCUGUAUGCAUAGGAGUUAGCCAGGAUAUCCUGAGUAGAAAACUGCUCACUGAGCCAUACUACUUGUUCCUUGUCAUUUUCUCUUCUUACCACACCCCAGAUGGUCCUGGAACACUGUACCUUUGCAGCACUUAGGAAAUGCAGACCUAUCUCCAUGAAUACCACUUCAUUUGCAUAACAAAGCUGAACUGAUUUUUAUUUCUUUUAGGAUGUAUGCAGAACUGAGAUAAUUAGUUUUCAGGUUUUCAGAGAGUUGUAGGAUUUGGGGAGAGGGAAGACAAGAAGAGCAUGUUUGUUUUUUGUUUUCUUUUCUGGCAUAAGUGCCUGUGGUUUUGAU